rnacentral:rRNA from 1 species
GACGAACGUUGGCGGCGUGCCUAAUACAUGCAAGUCAACUGAAAUACCGGUAGCAAUACUGGUAUGGAGGUGGCGCACGGGUGAGUAACACGUAGGUAAUCUGCCUUCAGGUCUGACAUAACCCAUCGAAAGGUGAGCUAAUAUCAGAUGAUGCAGCGGCUUGACAUCAAGACAGUUGUUAAAGCUUCGGCGCCUGAAGAUGAGCCUGCGUCUGAUUAGCUAGUUGGCGGGUAACGGCCCACCAAGGCUGCGAUCAGUAGCUGGUCUGAGAGGAUGAUCAGUCGCACUGGAACUGAGACACGGUCCAGACUCCUACGGGAGGCAGCAGUAAGGAAUAUUGCUCAAUGGCCGAAAGGCUGAAGCAGCAACGCCGCGUGAGGGAUGAAGGGCUUUUGCUUGUAAACCUCUGUAGCGAGAGACAAAACU